rnacentral:rRNA from 1 species
UACGAGGGGUGCAAGCGUUGUUCGGAAUCAUUGGGCGUAAAGGGUGCGUAGACGGUUUGUUAAGUCUGUUGUUUAAUACCCCAGCCUAACUGGGGAAAUGCAAUAGAAACUGGCAUACUAGAGGGUGAGAGAGAGAAGUGGAAUUCCUGGAGUAGCGGUCAAAUGCGUAGAUCUCAGGAGGAACACCGAUGGCGAAGGCAGCUUCUUGGCUCAUACCUGACGUUGAUGCACGAAAGUGCGGGGAUCAAACAGG